UACGUAGGGGGCUAGCGUUGUCCGGAAUCAUUGGGCGUAAAGCGCGCGUAGGCGGCCCGGUAAGUCCGCUGUGAAAGUCAAAGGCUCAACCUUUGAAUGUCAGCGGAUACUGCCGGGCUAGAGUCCGGAAGAGGCGAGUGGAAUUCCUGGCGUAGCGGUGGAAUGCGCAGAUAUCAGGAGGAACACCAAUUGCGAAGGCAGCUCGCUGGGACGUAACUGACGCUGAGACGCGAAAGCGUGGGGAGCAAACAGG
rnacentral:rRNA from 1 species